rnacentral:rRNA from 1 species
UACGGAGGAUCCAAGCGUUAUCCGGAUUUAUUGGGUUUAAAGGGUGCGUAGGCGGUUUGAUAAGUUAGAGGUGAAAUAUUAGGGCUCAACCCUGAAACUGCCUCUAAUACUGUCGAGCUAGAGAAUAGUUGCGGUAGGCGGAAUGUAUGGUGUAGCGGUGAAAUGCUUAGAGAUCAUACAGAACACCGAUUGCGAAGGCAGCUUACCAAACUAUAUCUGACGUUGAGGCACGAAAGCGUGGGGAGCAAACAGG